GGCUUAUUUGCGUACAUUAAUUGCGACCUCGAUGUUGGAUUAGGAUACUUAUUUAAUGAAGAAGUUAAAUUAAGGAGUUUGUUCAACUUUUAAAUUCCUACAUGAUCUGAGUUCAGACCGGCGUAAGCCAGGUUGGUUUCUAUCUUUAUUAACAAUUUUUUUUUUAAUUAGUACGAAAGGAAUUUUAAAAAAUAAUUAUUUAUGGAAAUUCUAAAGAAAUUUCUUUUAUUUUGU
rnacentral:rRNA from 1 species